AACGAACGCUGGCGGCAGGCCUAACACAUGCAAGUCGAACGUGAAGCCACCUUCGGGUGGUGGAAAGUGGCAGACGGGUGAGUAACACGUGGGAACGUGCCUUUAGGUUCGGAAUAACUCAGGGAAACUUGUGCUAAUACCGAAUGUGCCCUUCGGGGGAAAGAUUUAUCGCCUUUAGAGCGGCCCGCGUCUGAUUAGCUAGUUGGUGAGGUAAAGGCUCACCAAGGCUACGAUCAGUAGCUGGUCUGAGAGGAUGACCAGCCACAUUGGGACUGAGACACGGCCCAAACUCCUACGGGAGGCAGCAGUGGGGAAUCUUGCGCAAUGGGCGAAAGCCUGACGCAGCCAUGCCGCGUGGAUGAUGAAGGUCUUAGGAUUGUAAAAUCCUUUCACCGGUGAAGAUAAUGACUGUAGCCGGAGAAGAAGCCCCGGCUAACUUCGUGCCAGCCGCCGCCGUAACAC
rnacentral:rRNA from 1 species